UGCGGCGUGCUUACACAUGCAAGUCGAACGAUGAACCACUUCGGUGGGGAUUAGUGGCGAACGGGUGAGUAACACGUGGGCAAUCUGCCCUGCACUCUGGGACAAGCCCUGGAAACGGGGUCUAAUACCGGAUACUGACCCGCUUGGGCAUCCAAGCGGUUCGAAAGCUCCGGCGGUGCAGGAUGAGCCCGCGGCCUAUCAGCUUGUUGGUGAGGUAAUGGCUCACCAAGGCGACGACGGGUAGCCGGCCUGAGAGGGCGACCGGCCACACUGGGACUGAGACACGGCCCAGACUCCUACGGGAGGCAGCAGUGGGGAAUAUUGCACAAUGGGCGAAAGCCUGAUGCAGCGACGCCGCGUGAGGGAUGACGGCCUUCGGGUUGUAAACCUCUUUCAGCAGGGAAGAAGCGAAAGUGACGGUACCUGCAGAAGAAGCGCCGGCUAACUACGUGCCAGCAGCCGCGGUAAUACGUAGGGCGCGAGCGUUGUCCGGAAUUAUUGGGCGUAAAGAGCUCGUAGGCGGCUUGUCGCGUCGGUUGUGAAAGCCCGGGGCUUAACCCCGGGUCUGCAGUCGAUACGGGCAGGCUAGAGUUCGGUAGGGGAGAUCGGAAUUCCUGGUGUAGCGGUGAAAUGCGCAGAUAUCAGGAGGAACACCGGUGGCGAAGGCGGAUCUCUGGGCCGAUACUGACGCUGAGGAGCGAAAGCGUGGGGAGCGAACAGGAUUAGAUAC
rnacentral:rRNA from 1 species